GUCUACCUUUUUCUUUUGCUUCUUCCUCUUAUCUUGUUACGUAUAUUCAAAGGAUAUACAACCCUAUGUUUAAAGGUAUCCCUAGAAGUACCUGUAGAGUGCAUUUAGCCAAGCAAGACAACAACUUGCAUCCGAGACUCCCAAGCAAGACAACAACUUGGAGACACGCGGCACUCAUUGGGAAGCAAUGCUUUGGAAGUCUUNN
rnacentral:lncRNA from 1 species